ACCUGCCCACUGAAAUAUUUUAAAUGGCCGCAGUAAUUUGACUGUGCAAAGGUAGCAUAAUCAUUAGUUUUUUAAUUAAAAGCUUGUAUGAAGGGUUGGACGAAAUAAAAUCUGUCUUUAUUUAAAUAAUAUUAGAAUUUAAUUUUUAAGUUAAAAAGCUUAAAUUUAUAUAAAAGACGAGAAGACCCUAUAGAUCUUUAUAUUAUUAUAAAAUAAUUUUAAUUAAGAAUAUUUAAUUUUUUAUUUUAUUUAAUAUUUUAUUGGGGUAAUAAAAAAAUUAAUUAAAUUUUUUUUUUUAUUUUACAUAAAUUAAUGAAUUUAUGAUCCAUAUUUUUUGAUUAUAAGAUUAAGUUACCUUAGGGAUAACAGCGUAAUUUUUUUAAAGAGUUCAUAUCGAUAAAAAAGUUUGCGACCUCGAUGUUGGAUUAAAAAUUGUUUUAGGCGUAGAAGUUUAAAAAUUUGGUCUGUUCGACCAUUAAAUUUUU
rnacentral:rRNA from 1 species